AACCGCCGUAUGCCGAACGGCAUGUACGGUGGUGUGAGAGGUCGGAAAACAAAAGUAGGAAGAAAACUACUUUUGUUUUCCUCCUACUCGAU
rnacentral:ncRNA from 1 species